AACUUCGGGAAACCGGAGCUAAUACCGGAUAAGAUAUCGAACCGCAUGGUUCGAUAGUGAAAGANGGUUUUGCUAUCACUUAUAGAUGGACCCGCGCCGUAUUAGCUAGUUGGUGAGGUAACGGCUCACCAAGGCAACGAUACGUAGCCGACCUGAGAGGGUGAUCGGCCACACUGGAACUGAGACACGGUCCAGACUCCUACGGGAGGCAGCAGAG
rnacentral:rRNA from 1 species